rnacentral:rRNA from 1 species
AAUAGAUACCCAGGUAGUCCACGCCGUAAACGUUGGGCGCUAGAUGUGGGGACCAUUCCACGGUUUCCGUGUCGCAGCUAACGCAUUAAGCGCCCCGCCUGGGGAGUACGGCCGCAAGGCUAAAACUCAAAGGAAUUGACGGGGGCCCGCACAAGCGGCGGAGCAUGCGGAUUAAUUCGAUGCAACGCGAAGAACCUUACCAAGGCUUGACAUAUACGAGAACGCUCUAGAAAUAGAGAACUCUUUGGACACUCGUAUACAGGUGGUGCAUGGUUGUCGUCAGCUCGUGUCGUGAGAUGUUGGGUUAAGUCCCGCAACGAGCGCAACCCUCGUUCUAUGUUGCCAGCGGUUCGGCCGGGAACUCAUAGGAGACUGCCGGGGUCAACUCGGAGGAAGGUGGGGAUGACGUCAAAUCAUCAUGCCCCUUAUGUCUUGGGCUUCACGCAUGCUACAAUGGCCGGUACAAAGGGCUGCAAUACCGCAAGGUGGAGCGAAUCCCAAAAAGCCGGUCUCAGUUCGGAUUGAGGUCUGC